rnacentral:rRNA from 1 species
GACGAACGCUGGCGGCGUGCUUAACACAUGCAAGUCGAACGGUAAGGCCCUUCGGGGUACACGAGUGGCGAACGGGUGAGUAACACGUGGGUGAUCUGCCCUGCACUUCGGGAUAAGCCUGGGAAACUGGGUCUAAUACCGGAUAGGACCCUGGGAUGCAUGUCCUGGGGUGGACAGCUUUUGCGGUGUGGGAUGGGCCCGCGGCCUAUCAGCUUGUUGGGGGGGUGAUGGCCUACCAAGGCGACGACGGGUAGCCGGCCUGAGAGGGUGAACGGCCAUCCUGGGACUGAGAGGCGGCCCAGAAUCCUAGGGGAGGGUGCAGUGGGGAAGAUUGGACACGGGGCGGAAGCCUGAAGCAGCGACGCCGCGUGAGGGAUGACGGCCUUCGGGUUGUAAACCUCUUUCAGCACCGACGAAGCGCAAGUGACGGUAGGUGCAGAAGAAGGACCGGCCAACUACGUGCCAGCCGCCGCCGCGG